AUCUCCUACUUUGUCGUCAGUUGCAUCGAAUCGUGUCUGCAAUGCACUUGUACUUCUUCAGUGUGUUGCUUCACACCCUGAGACCAGGAUCCCGUUCUUGAAUGCUCACAUCCCACUGUACCUGUACCCGUUCCUAAAUACUACCAGCAAGACCAGACCUUUUGAGUACUUGAGGCUUACCAGCUUUGGUGUUGUUGGUGCUCUUGUGAAGGAGCGGAUCAGCAACGCCCCUAUAGCAGCCCAGCACAGCCGCUGAGCCAGGCCCGACCUACUUAACCCGACAGCUUUGCUGGGCCGCUUCGUGUCUCAAGCCGCGGCAGAGGGGGAGAUCCAGGCGGAGCGCGCCAUCUCCAUCGUCACGACUCGCCCUCCUGUCUGCGUCUCCCUGCCCCUUCUCCUCUAGCAGGAGGAGCACGAGCCAAGGCAUGCCGCCUCCGAUUCUGCAAUGCGCCUAAUGGCUACCUCCGCAGCAUUCCAUUCGAUCGUCUGUCCAAUCGAAUCCCUUGCUCCAGCCGCUAGGUACCAGCAGCAUUGCAUUGGUUUAUUUUAUUUAUAAUAGUGUGAUAAAACAGUGAGGUGUAUGCAGGUCAAUAACAAUAUAUGAUACUUUUGAUUGUAGUAUAGGUAAUCAGGCCUUUUUGGUGCAUAUAUCUAGCUCCGACUGGUUAUGUGGUUUCUCUAAUUAUUCUAAAUUAACCGAAUUAAUGUGACCUUGCUUAAAAUUUUAAUCGAGAGUAAACAUUCACAGAGACCUAAUUAGGAUUGAUUAAACUGCUCUUAUAGUAUAUAUGUUUGUUACUUCCUUUACAUGUCGUUCUUAUCUGCUCUUGUGAUUAACUACAUGAUUAUGUCAUGUGUACUUACAUAUUAUGCUUUUCUUUUUUAAUAUUAAAUCUUGGAGAAAGUUCUAUAGGUAGAGUAGGCUAAUUUUAUUUCCAGGUGCUGUAUAGGAUACUAUGGUUAAAGAUUGUUCUGAUAUAUAUUGAUGUUGCUGAUUAUCAAAAUCAAUGGAUGUUAUCUAGAGUGCUUCUCCUUCAGAUUUGAUGUACUAUGUCCUCCAGCUUAUAUUAGAUGAUUUCUUUCCACGGUUUUUGCUAAUUAUGGAUAUGUAUCUAAUAAUCUUAUUUUGGCAUAGACAAAUUACUCACCUAG